UGGGGAAUCUUCCGCAAUGGACGAAAGUCUGACGGAGCAACGCCGCGUGAGUGAAGACGGCCUUCGGGUUGUAAAGCUCUGUGAUCCGGGACGAAAGAGCCUGAGGUAAAUAGCCUAAGGAAGUGACGGUACCGGAAAAGCAAGCCACGGCUAACUACGUGCCAGCAGCCGCGGUAAUACGUAGGUGGCAAGCGUUGUCCGGAAUUAUUGGGCGUAAAGCGCGCGCAGGCGGCUUACUAAGUCCAUCUUAAAAGUGCGGGGCUUAACCCCGUGAUGGGAUGGAAACUGGAAAGCUGGAGUAUCGGAGAGGAAAGUGGAAUUCCUAGUGUAGCGGUGAAAUGCGUAGAGAUUAGGAAGAACACCGGUGGGGAAGGCGACUUUCUGGACGAAAACUGACGCUGAGGCGCGAAAGCGUGGGGAGCAAACAGG
rnacentral:rRNA from 1 species